rnacentral:rRNA from 1 species
GACGAACGCUGGCGGCGUGCUUAACACAUGCAAGUCGAACGGAAAGGCCCUGCUUUUGUGGGGUGCUCGAUUGGCGAACGGGUGAGUAACACGUGAGUAACCUGCCCUUGACUUUGGGAUAACUUCAGGAAACUGGGGCUAAUACCGGAUAGGAUCUCCUGCUGCAUGGUGGGGGUUGGAAAGUUUCGGCGGUUGGGGAUGGACUCGCGGCUUAUCGGCUUGUUGGUGGGGUAGGUGCUUACCAAGGCUUUGGAGGGUCGGCGGCAUGAGAGGGGGGACGGCGACCAUGCGCCUGCGAUACGGCGCAGACUCCAACGGGAGGCAGCAGUGGGGAAUCUUGCCCAAUGGGCCGGCGCCUGAUGCAGAAACGCCGCGUGCGGGAUGACGGCCUUCGGGUUGUAAACAGCUUUAGCCUGUGACGACGCGUGAGUGACGGUACUGGGUAAAGAAGCACCGGCUAACUACGUG